UGUUUUGCAGGGCAACACAGGAAGAAGUCUGGAAUCAGAAGCAUCCGUUUAUACUGACUUGCAGUACAAAAGUGAUUCCACAUAUUCUGAGCUAGAAAGGUAAAAGAACAAGAAAUGAAGUAUUUUGUGUCAAUUAACACCUGUGAGAAAUAAAAUGCUGAUAAGAAGAAAUGAAUAUGUGGUCGGUCAGUCAAUGUUUGGCAGAAAUAAAAUGGAAUUAAGUUCCAAGAAUAAUUACUGGAAGUGGAAAACCUUUCUAGCUUUUGCAUUUUCAUCUUGCAGAUUAAGCUACAUUAACCAAUGCAUGUAACAUAUAAUGACUAAAUGAUACAAAGAUAUUUUGUAGCAAGAGGAAGAAUGUAAGCAGAUGUCAGAUAUCAAAUAAAGCCUUUGUAUAUCUGUUUUAGUAAUG